rnacentral:rRNA from 1 species
GACGAACGCUGGCGGCGUGCUUAACACAUGCAAGUCGAACGGAAAGGCCCUGCUUUUGUGGGGUGCUCGAGUGGCGAACGGGUGAGUAACACGUGAGUAACCUGCCCUUGACUUUGGGAUAACUUCAGGAAACUGGGGCUAAUACCGGAUAGGAGCUCCUGCUGCAUGGUGGGGGUUGGAAAGUUUCGGCGGUUGGGGAUGGACUCGCGGCUUAUCAGCUUGUUGGUGGGGUAGUGGCUUACCAAGGCUUUGACGGGUAGCCGGCCUGAGAGGGUGACCGGCCACAUUGGGACUGAGAUACGGCCCAGACUCCUACGGGAGGCAGCAGUGGGGAAUAUUGCACAAUGGGCGGAGGCCUGAUGCAGCAACGCCGCGUGCGGGAUGACGGCCUUCGGGUUGUAAACCGCUUUCGCCUGUGACGAAGCGUGAGUGACGGUAAUGGGUAAAGAAGCACCGGCUAACUACGUGCCAGCAGCCGCGGUGAUACGUAGGGUGCGAGCGUUGUCCGGAUUUAUUGGGCGUAAAGGGCUCGUAGGUGGUUGAUCGCGUCGGAAGUGUAAUCUUGGGGCUUAACCCUGAGCGUGCUUUCGAUACGGGUUGACUUGAGGAAGGUAGGGGAGAAUGGAAUUCCUGGUGGAGCGGUGGAAUGCGCAGAUAUCAGGAGGAACACCAGUGGCGAAGGCGGUUCUCUGGGCCUUUCCUGACGCUGAGGAGCGAAAGCGUGGGGAGCGAACAGGCUUAGAUACCCUGGUAGUCCACGCUGUAAACGGUGGGUACUAGGUGUGGGGUCCAUUCCACGGGUUCCGUGCCGUAGCUAACGCUUUAAGUACCCCGCCUGGGGAGUACGGCCGCAAGGCUAAAACCCAAAGGAAUUGACGGGGCCCCGCACAAGCGGCGGAGCAUGCGGAUUAAUUCGAUGCAACGCGUAGAACCUUACCUGGGUUUGACAUGGAUCGGGAGUGCUCAGAGAUGGGUGUGCCUCUUUUGGGGUCGGUUCACAGGUGGUGCAUGGCUGUCGUCAGCUCGUGUCGUGAGAUGUUGGGUUAAGUCCCGCAACGAGCGCAACCCUUGUUCACUGUUGCCAGCACGUUAUGGUGGGGACUCAGUGGAGACCGCCGGGGUCAACUCGGAGGAAGGUGGGGAUGACGUCAAGUCAUCAUGCCCCUUAUGUCCAGGGCUUCACGCAUGCUACAAUGGCUGGUACAGAGAGUGGCGAGCCUGUGAGGGUGAGCGAAUCUCGGAAAGCCGGUCUCAGUUCGGAUUGGGGUCUGCAACUCGACCUCAUGAAGUCGGAGUCGCUAGUAAUCGCAGAUCAGCAACGCUGCGGUGAAUACGUUCCCGGGGCU